GCUUUCGUGGUGUAGUGGUCAGCACGUUCGACCCGUGUUCGAGAGGUCUGGGGUUCAAGUCCCGGUGAGUGUA
rnacentral:tRNA from 1 species